AGCGAACGCUGGCGGCAGGCCUAACACAUGCAAGUCGAACGAACCUUUCGGGGUUAGUGUCGGACGGGUGAGUAACACGUGGGAACGUGCCUUUAGGUUCGGCAUAACUCAGGGAAACUUGUGCUAAUACCAAAUGUGCCCUUCGGGGGAAAGAUUUAUCGCCUUUAGAGCGGCCCGCGUCUGAUUAGCUAGUUGGUUGAGGUAAUGGCUCACCAAGGCGACGAUCAGUAGCUGGUCUGAGAGGAUGAUCAGCCACAUUGGGACUGAGACACGGCCCAAACUCCUACGGGAGGCAGCAGUGGGGAAUCUUGCGCAAUGGGCGAAAGCCUGACGCAGCCAUGCCGCGUGAAUGAUGAAGGUCUUAGGAUUGUAAAAUUCUUUCACCGGGGAAGAUAAUGACGGUACCCGGAGAAGAAGCCCCGGCUAACUUCGUG
rnacentral:rRNA from 1 species